AGCAUCAAAAGCAACCAAAAAGAAAACAAAAGUGAACCAGAAGCCAAACGUUUCAGGGAAGGCGAGAGAUCUAACCAGACAUGGGUUAAGAGAGAGAGAGAACUACACAGCAGCUGAAUUUUGUUUUAUCGCAGCUGCUGAUAAACACAUCUCUGAUUGCGUGCUUCUUUCUUUUCCUCUCUCCCGGCGGAAAUUGUUGCACAAUUUGAAAAUAGCGGAGUAAACUUUUUUUCUACUCUACUUUGGGAUUUAUUUUUAUUUGAUCAGGCUAUAAGUAACGAGAGACAGGCGGCUUUUAUAUUAUCUACCACUACAGAAUUGGUUAUUUAUUUAUUCUGUAGUGGUAUCCACUGGUUUUGGUUGUGAUUCAAUAGCGAGAAUUGGCUACUAUUUGAAAUUCGUGAUUAGAGUUGAAAGUUAGUGGUGAUUUUUGCUGGAGUUAUGGCUGCGCAAGCCGAUUCUAAACGGAAAUAUUCUUGGUGGUGGGAUAGCCACAUAAGCCCCAAGAAUUCAAAAUGGCUUCAGGAGAAUCUUACAGGUAUUGUGCAUUCUAUUACAUGGCUACAGUGUGAGUUGAUUGUUUCACAUGGUUAAUUUGGCACUUCAUGAGUUGGCGCAGCUACCUGCGGGAAUCUCAUCUAAUAUGAGUUCAUAGAUAUUGCAUCAUAAUUUUCAGUGAUUAACUUAAAGCGUUAGAAAUGAGUUUCUGGUAGUUGAAUGUAAAUAUAAGUGCUGAAAAUUUUUCUCAAAUUUGUACUGGGUGAGGUGUCCCAUGUUAUCCUCAAUUUACACUUGCUGUAAACUUUGAAUGAUUGUUG